rnacentral:rRNA from 1 species
CCCUUAGAUGUCCUGGGCCGCACGCGUGCUACACUGAUGCAUACAGCGAGUACUCCCAGCUCCGAGAGGCUGCUGGUAAUCAGCAAUAUGCAUCGUGAUGGGGAUAGAUCUUUGGAAUUAUAGAUCUUGAACGAGGAAUUCCUAGUAAUCGCAGGUCAUCACCCUGCGUUGACUAAGUCCCUGCCCUUUGUACACACCGCCCGUCGCUCCUACCGAUUUCGAGUGCUCCGGUGAAUCAUUCGGACCGCGGCCCCUAGGCAUGCGGAAAGUCUAGUAAACCAUAUCACUUAGAGGAAGGAGAAGUCGUAUCA